rnacentral:rRNA from 4 species
UAAAUGACUCUCGGCAACGGAUAUCUCGGCUCUCGCAUCGAUGAAGAACGUAGCGAAAUGCGAUACUUGGUGUGAAUUGCAGAAUCCCGUGAACCAUCGAGUCUUUGAACGCAAGUUGCGCCCGAAGCCAUUAGGUCGAGGGCACGCCUGCCUGGGCGU